rnacentral:tRNA from 1 species
AAGUAAGAAGUGAAAAAUCACAAUUAGUUUCGACCUAACAUAUAUGGUAAUUAUACCCUUACUUU